GUGGGGAAUUUUGGACAAUGGGGGCAACCCUGAUCCAGCCAUGUCGCGUGAGUGAAGAAGGCCUUCGGGUUGUAAAGCUCUUUCAGCCGGAACGAAACGGUGGAUGUUAACACUAUCCAUUACUGACGGUACCGGAAGAAGAAGCACCGGCUAACUACGUGCCAGCAGCCGCGGUAAUACGUAGGGUGCGAGCGUUAAUCGGAAUUACUGGGCGUAAAGCGUGCGCAGGCGGUGGCUCCAGUCAGGUGUGAAAUCCCCAGGCUUAACCUGGGAAUUGCAUUUGAAACUAGGCCGCUAGAGUUUGGCAGAGGGGGGUGGAAUUCCACGUGUAGCAGUGAAAUGCGUAGAGAUGUGGAGGAACACCGAUGGCGAAGGCAGCCCCCUGGGCUAAAACUGACGCUCAUGCACGAAAGCGUGGGGAGCAAACAGGAUUAGAUACCCGAGUAGUCC
rnacentral:rRNA from 1 species